GCGGGAAUAGCUCAGUUGGUAGAGUGCAACCUUGCCAAGGUUGAGGUCGCGAGUUCGAAUCUCGUUUCCCGCUCCA
rnacentral:tRNA from 1 species